UACAUGGGGUGCAAACGUUGCUCGGAAUUAUUGGGCGUAAAGCGCGCGUAGGCGGUUACUCAAGUCGGAUGUGAAAGCCCUCGGCUUAACUGAGGAAGUGCACCCGAAACUGAGUAGCUAGAGUACUAAAGAGGGUCGCGGAAUUCCCGGUGUAGAGGUGAAAUUCGUAGAUAUCGGGAGGAACACCGGUGGCGAAGGCGGCGACCUGGGUAGAUACUGACGCUGAGGCGCGAAAGCCAGGGGAGCGAACGGG
rnacentral:rRNA from 1 species